UCUCUGGAUGUGAGGCUCUGGGAGGGGGGGCGGGGGCCCUACACACUCAUCUGCACUCAUCUGCCCUCUUCAAAAGGUACUAAGCUGCUUGUUUUCACAGCUGCUGUGCUGCUGGUCUUCAAGGCUACCAUGGAGCUGUGGAGAGGAAGAAUCAGCACCUCCCUCAACACAGCCAACGCCCUUCCCAAGAAUGGCUGCCCAGCAGGAUCACGUGACUUCCUUGCUCCAGGACCCAAAUGGACUUGAAGCAUUCAGUAAUGCCUACUGCCUCAAGAAUAAAGCCUACUCCUCAGAUCGGCAUUCGAGGCCCCUCAUGACAUGGGCUUGGUGUCUGCUCAUCUCUCACCACCAACACCUCCCAGUUUAUGCUCAAUAAUUCUGACCUAGUUGUAUUUACCUUCACAAGUGCUGCUUUCUUAUGCUUGUCCAUUCACAGACUGUUCUUUCUUUAAUGCCCUAAACAACUCCAACCUCAUCCUGCCCAAUGUUACCACUUAUCGCCCUGAAAAAAAAUGAAAGCAAAGCAACUUAAAAUCUUUCUGCAAUGAUACAGGAUAUAUUUAAAAAGAAAAUAAACAAAAAAUUUAAAAAUUUAAAAAAAUAAAAAGAAAAUAAACAGUGCAGCUGAGCAGUAUGCAAUUAUAUGAUUUGUAUUGAUCCUAUGCAAUUUGUAUUAUGUUUUUACUUUGUUCAGAACUGAUUGUUAAUUAUAGAAUUGUGUCUUCUGUACCAUGAAAGAAAAGGAACAAGGACAAUAGCUAAAAUGGCAGAGGAAGCCAAGCUAGGUCAAGAGCACUGGACCUUUGACAAGGAACACCUUUGUCAAAUGUCUCCAGUUUCUCAUCCUUGGAGUUUGGCAAAUUCCAUGGCUUCAUGUGUCCCAGGAACAUAACCCAGGUAUGAAGCUCCACCAUGGCUUCAAGCCCAGCUUUGCCUGAGGAGUGCUUAAAAUGGGCCAAUUCCAGUGCUACCUUGAAAACCUAUUGAAUCUGAUCCUCCAGAAGCAAAAUUAGACACCCCCACUUUAAGCCUCCAGAAGUGACUCUAGUGCACAGCCACUGUUGAGGAACUGUGGUCAUCGUGUCAAAGUUGUAUCACAUGUGAACUCACAUAGGGAUUAUUAAGUCUCUCACCAAAUCCUAAACUAAGAUUUAUAAAUUCAAAAUUCCCAGGCAAUGGGGAAUAGUAGGGACUGUGGCCAACUGAACACCCAUGCCCCGUCGCUGCUCACUGCUUCAGGGAAUGCCCAUGUGGAAAGUUGUAUUGGGUUGAAUGUUGGCCCCAAAAAUAAUAGGACCACAUCCUCGUCCCCAGAUCCUAUGUAUGUGACCUCAUUUAGAAAAAGAGUCUUUGCUCUUGCAAUGAAAUUAAAGAUCUUGAAAUAAGAUCAUCCUGGAUGACCGGUGGGCCUAAACCCAAUGACAGGUGUGCUCAUUACAGCAAGGCAGAGGAAAACUGGACACAAAGAGGAGAGAGUGUGAGGAUAGAAACAGAAUGUAGUUAUGCAGCCACAAGUCAAGAACGGCCUGGAUGCACCAGAAGCUGGAAGAAGCAACGAUGGAUUGUCCUCUUCAGCCUUCAGACAGAGGAUGGCCCUGCCAACACCUUGAUUUUGGAUUUCUGGCCUCCAGGACUGUGCAAGAAUAAAUUUCUGUUGUAUUAAGCCA